rnacentral:SRP_RNA from 1 species
GCUGAUUGUGAUAGGGAGAUUUGAUAUGCCGGUAAGUUUAUAUAAGCAGNUUGAGCUCAGGAGCUCUGUGCCGUAGCGGGCUAUGUCGAUCGGGUGUCCGCACUAAGCUCGGUAUCAAUAUGGUGCUCCCGGGGGAGCUCGGGAACACCAGGUCGCCUAAGGAGGGGUGAACCGGCCCAGGUCGGAAACGGAGCAGGUCAAAGCCCCCGUGCCGCUCAGUAGUGGGAUCGCGCCCGUGAAUUAACCGCUACGGUGCAGCCUGAACAACACAACGGAACCUCGUCUUU